CUCACUGAUGUAUAAAUGGAUCGACGAUAAUACAACAAAGAAGAAAAUAAAUAUAACCGAAAAUGAGCAGAUUGCGACCUCUGAUGUUUUUCCGAUCAAUAACUGUAAUGUAAAACUUAAUAUUUUUAAUGUCUUAUUAUACGCAAGCAAACACUACAGUACUACAUUAAAUGUAUAAAUCAGAAAAGAAAUAUCUGCGGAAAUAACUACUGAAAUGAAGUGCAAAUACUAAAUAUAUGACAUAUUGUAAUGGCGCAUGUGAAAGUUGACACAACGAAGAUACUUACACGAUUUAAUACAGAGCCAUGUACACUCAUAAGUAUUGAUGAAAGGGGAAUUUUGACCGGAACCGAUAUAUUACUUCAACUCAACCGAGUUAUCGACACAACCGAGUUCAACACAACGAGGUUCGACUGUAUAUACUUGAGCAAACAAUACUUUAUAAAAGACAUCACGUAAUCAUCGCGAUUAAAUUCAAGUCACCCGGAAUAGUUACAAUUAAAUUCAAAUAUGCUUCCUUUAAGCAAUAUGUAACAUUCAAUAAUAUCGGAUACCCACUCAAUGUUGGUGAUAUGUAUAAAGAUAAUAAUAACAUAAACUAAAUCUUAUUUCAACCAUUCCGUAUUGUAUUCGUUUCAUGAAAAGCAAUCCGCCAUUUUGCAGUAAACAAUAACAAUUUAUUCUUUUUAAGUUUCGUGCAGCUUGUUUUCAGGACGAUACACUAUAGCUGUGUAUUUAUCACUAGAGUCCUUGCUAAUGAUAAUAUAUAUACUCUGUAUUACAGCUGGCGACAUGGUAUUGUAGGUCGGCAGGUUCCAUUUACCCAGGUCAACAAUGGACACAACAGCACGAUAAAAUAGAAGUGUGAGGCUAGCCGUUUACAUCAACAUGUCGUCAGAAAAAAAGACAAACAAGUCACUUUGCAUAAUCAAAUAUAAAUACACAAACCUAAAAGUGAAUAAUGCAGCUAGGAAAAAAAUGAUCUGUAGGAGAAUGCAUAAUGCUCAACCUCUUUGAUUUUUGGAUAAAAAGACAAACCAACAGAGUCUUGCGAAGAAAGAAAAUAUUUGCCUACAAUUAGUAGCCUAAAUUCAGAAGUGGAGCCACUGACUUAAACAAAGAAUUUCAGAGUUAAAUAAAACAAUUAUAGCACGUUGUUUAUCAAAGUAAAGAUGGACAAAUGUUAAAAUCCCUAGAACUACAUUGUAUGCGUAUUGGUGCGAUUUAUAAACCGUAUGUAGUCAUUUAUAAUAAUUUUACUUCUCAUUUCAAAAAUAGUUGUUUUUUCGUUCAGAUUAAGGAGGUACUAACACGUGCUCGUUGAAUUAUAGAAUGUAGAUACACAUGUUACUAUUUUCGAUUGUGAGAUGUAAUAUGUGUAUGCAACCAUUCUAGAUUAAUUGAGAAAUAAGUUAAAAUUAACGUUAUAAUGCUGAAUUAGGUCAAUGCAUAAACAGCAAAUAUUUUGUCGUAAAACAUUACUAAUCUUGCAAUCUCGAUGUAUUUAUCUUACUUUCCAUAUGUUUCUUUCCAUACAAUGUACACAAUUCAAUAAAAAUUA